rnacentral:rRNA from 1 species
UCCGGUUGAUCCCGCCGGACCCGAUCGCUAUCGGGGUGGGGCUAAGCCAUGGGAGUCGCACGCCCCGGUAACCGGGGCGUGGCGAACGGCUGAGUAACACGUGGCUAACCUACCCUCGGGACGGGGAUAGUCCCGGGAAACUGGGAGCAAUCCCCGAUAGGUGGAGAUUCCUGGAAGGGUUCUCCACCGAAAGGGUGUUGCGGGGAUGUCCGCAACGCCGCCCGAGGAUGGGGCCACGGCCCAUCAGGUUGUUGGCGGGGUAAGGGCCCGCCAAGCCUAUAACGGGUAGGGGCCGUGAGAGCGGGAGCCCCCAGAUGGGCCCUGAGACAAGGGCCCAGGCCCUACGGGGUGCACCAGGCGCGAAAACUCCGCAAUGCGGGAAACCGUGACGGGGCCACCCCGAGUGCCCCGAAGAGGGGCUUUUCCCCGCUGUAAGGAGGCGGGGGAAUAAGCGGGGGGCAAGUCUGGUGUCAGCCGCCGCGGUAAUACCAGCCCCGCGAGUGAUCGGGACGUUUACUGGGCCUAAAGCGCCCGUAGCCGGCCCGGUAAGUCCUCCCUUAAAGCCCCGGGCAUAACCCGGGGACGGGGAGGAUACUGCCGGGCUAGGGGGCGGGAGAGGCCGAGGGUACUCCCGGGGUAGGGGCGAAAUCCGUUAAUCCCGGGAGGACCACCAGUGGCGAAGGCGCUCGGCUGGAACGCGCCCGACGGUGAGGGGCGAAAGCCGGGGGAGCGAACCGGAUUAGAUACCCGGGUAGUCCCGGCUGUAAACGAUGCGGACUAGGUGUUGGGCAGGUCUUAGAGCCUGCCCAGUGCCGCAGGGAAGCCGUUAAGUCCGCCGA